ensembl:ncRNA F38A3.5 ncRNA
UCCAGAGAGAUGGAAGGCUCUGAAGUCAUGCUCUUUAAUUAGAACGACAAGAUGAUAGAGCGGCCUCAGACCGAACAUGCACCUUGAAGUUAAAGAGCAUGGCAACCUAGACGGAAAGAGGAGAAGAAAAAUGAGCAAAUUAA